GAAGCAGAAGAAGUACGUCACGCGUUCAUGAUCUUUCGUUCUGUGGAUGUAGCACGAUUCAUUGUGCGACUUCGUUUUGCAGAAAUAUCCGCCUCAACAUAAAGUGCUGGCCCUGGGGUUUCUUCAACACUGAGUUGGAUCCUGGAAUAUUUCCCUUGAAAUUUUACUUGAACUGUGUCAUCAGAUGACAACCAUGUCCGCUUCUACCGCGGCACUGC